rnacentral:lncRNA from 1 species
CAUAUACCAACUCAAGUAGAGGAGGAAAGGCAAAACAAAAGAAUAUAUGUUGGAAUAAUACCAAUCAGACCGAGGCACUACACUCAGUUGUUAUUGUUUUGACAGUUUUAGUUUGAAUCCAGCUCAGUAAACGAUAUACUUUAGUAUAUAUAUUGACAGUGCUAACAUUGGAACGAAUGAAAAACACAAGAUAUGAAUGGGGGAACAAAAUAUGGGAUAAACGUUAAUGAAACAGCAAAAUAUACAAAAGACAACAUUUGUAAUGUUUGUACGUAUACUAUUAUUACAACGACAUACCACUUAUAAACAGAAGAUUUCACAGUACAUUGUAGUCACUACAAAUCUCCUUAAUUGAUUCGUAUCUGGUUUUUUUCAAGAACUAAGGAAUAUUUGAGCGUCACUGAUGAGUCUUUUGUAGACGAAACGCGCGUCUGACGCAAAAACAAAAUUUCAAAAUCCUGGUAUCUAUGAUGAGCUUAUUGAUCACUUGGAUUACCGGAAUGUCAUUUUUGAAAAUAACAGCAGUUUUGAUGUAUUUCGGAAAUAGAUCAAAAUAAAAUACCACUAACACAAACAAAAAUCACCUACUAUUUGUAAACAAGCGAAAUUGAAAGUAGGUCACAUUAAUGAAAAGUGAAAGAUUGGUUUGUCGAGGUUAAGGCCAAUGUAUUGUAAUAUGUUGACAAGGCAUGAAGGCCAAGUUAAUUAUGCCAAACCUAUGUCGCAUGAUACCCGAUUCACAAAUGUUAAAGUAAAUAUUCAUUAACACUCGGUCUGUUUUUGACCGUUCAACCGGCAAUCAUUAAAAUUG